AAAAGUGCAUUUUUAUCAAGGUUUCAUAUCAUCAUUUUGCACUUGAAGUAUUAAUAACUCCUUAACUAGAGCAUGUUUUAUAAUAAUAGAUCUGAUAAUAUAAGAUAGCUUUAAUUUAUGGUAAAUGUUCAUUUUAAAUGCAGGCAUAUCUCACAAUUCAAAGGAUUGAUUGAUGUGAUUAACUAUUGAAAGUGAAAGGACAAAGAAACGGCUAAGAUUAGAAAGGAGGUACCGAUUCAAUUCAAAUUGGAACACUGUUCAGUUAUUGGGUCAUAUCUGGAGCUGUAGAUCUUGGAUUUCAGCUUAAUUUAUAUGGAUGGAAAGCUAAGAAAUAGGCCUACAUUGUUCAUGAAUAGUGUAAGACCCAAAUCUGCCGUUUUCAAAUUCAAAGUUUGGCCACAAAAGAGAAGUCAGAAUCUGUCCUGUAAUCCAGCCCAAACACUGCUUAGAAUUUUACCCAUAUCUGGAGUUCUAGAAGGCCAAAUGACGUGAAAUUUGGUGGGUGGAAGGAAAAGACCAUUUCCAACAACUUUCAUGACGAAUGUUUUCUCAAAUUCGGAUGGUAACAAUGAUAUUUUGUCCAGACAAGAGCUUGAGGUCUAUCCACCACGUCUACCAACAGCACUACUCAGUAUUUUAGCCAUAUCUCGAGCUCUAGUGAUCCAAAUGCUCUGAAACUUUAUGGGUCAAAAGAUAAGAUGAUUGCCAACAACUUUCAUGAGGAACACUUUGCCAAAUUCUGAAUGGAUCAAUGUCAUUUCAUCCAGCCAAAGUGCUUGAGUGCUGCUGUCCACCAAGUCCACUAAAUCAAUAGUUGGCCACUACAUCAAUAAUCAAUUACCAAAUGAAUAGUUCUGAAUUUUAGCCUAUAAAGGAGGCAUUUGCCAUUCAUUUAAAAAGCUUGGUUCUAAGAUCAAGAUCAUGUUCUUGCUCUCUCUUUAUUGUUGUAAUGCUUAAGUUUUAUUUUCAUUAA